UUCCCUUCUCAACCCUUUUCGAAGUGUGGCAAUCGCCUUAUAUCAUUGGUUCCUAUCUCCAUAUAGAUAGUGGGUUAUGGUCUUUCUUUCAAACCCAACUUGUUAGAACUUAACUUUCCUUUGUAGAAAUUGGGUCACAUUGUUAUAUAGUGUUGGUUCAUUUAUGAGUCGAGUUCUAUUUUAUCAAUUUCUAUCCAUUUCAUUUUUAUCAUUCCAUCACCCUAGAAAAAUUCACGUUCUAAGCUUAAGUUUCCAUUUUCUCAAAAAAGUACCUAUUUAGACGACCGGGCAAAUUAAAUCGUGUAUCAAGUUUUAAACUCGUAACGGGGUUCAUGUCACCUUCUAUUUCCUCUCGUUCAUCAAAGCUGGGUCGAUUCCCUUAAAAGGCCCUCUAGAUGCAUUAGAACCAUUGGAAGAGCCAAUAAUUACAGUGGUAUGUACCCCAUGUUGAGGUAAAGAAACUGGCCUGCUUGGAGCAGCAAUUGGUGGUGUUCAUGAUCCAAAUCGAGUCAUGGAAUUUAAGCCAGCCAGGAACCCCUUCUUUAGGGAAGUAUUCAAAAUGCUUUUGACCUGUCUAGCUAGAUGGAAAGCUUCAACCAAAGUUUGUGGUCUAAAUAACUGCAGAUACUGGCUAAUCUCUCAUCUUAAGUUACUAGUAAAAAUGCUUAAAGCAUAAGACUCGAGCAAAUUUAACUAAUUCAGAAGGCUUACAAACAAGUCAUGGAAGUGUUCCAAUGAGCCUUGUUGCUUAAGAGUCACCAACUUAGUCAUGGGGUCUGCAAACAUACUCGAACCAAAUCUCUCCCUCAAGCUAAGGGCAUAUCCUGGCCAGUCUGGCAUCUGUAACCUACCAUGCUUCUAAGCAUAAAAAUAAUGCCAGUCAAGAGCUCUACCCUCCAAGUUUAACAUUAUUGUUCGAAAUUUGUCACCAUCAGGAACCCCCUCUGCUUCAAAAUAUUACUCAAGCUUUGACCACCAAGCCCCGUAAUCAGAUCCAUCAAAACGAGGGCAACCCCACUUAUAACCCUUCUCUUGAGGCUGUAGACUUGUGUGACCCGUGACCACAGGAGGUUGAGGAACUUCGAGGGGUUCUUUAGGAGAAAACCCAAGAGGUGGCCUGCCCAUAACACCCUUCCCUCAAUCCUGUACAACAACAUUACUAGAAAUAAUAGGGCUGCCAAGAUACUGUUCAAACAGACCAUGACGCUCAAACUUCAGAUUAUGAAGUUCAAAUCUGGUCUCUCCUUUAAAGUCAUCCUUAAACCCUUGCAAUCGCAUCUCCAGCUUUGCGUCGUAUUUAACAUCCAGCUGAGAAAGCUCCCCUCGAAUCUUCUGUACCUCUUACUGUAGAACAAUAACAUCUUUCUAGAAAUGUGUUGUAACCCCAUCUUCGACCAUAGAGCUCGGUAUGAUACCUCUAGUAAACCACAAAUCUAAAAACAGAAAACUGACAAGAAAAUAGAAGAGAAAAUAAGAGAAAGAGAGAGACAAUUUUCAUAAUACUCAAUUCAUGCCUUCUCUUUGUUACAACCAUUGAUUAAAAAGAAAAGGAAAAAAGAGAACAAUAACGACUCCAAAGUUGGUUACUGCCAAAGCUGACUUGGAUCAAAAUGCCCCGUUU
rnacentral:lncRNA from 1 species